UCCAGUGUCUUUAGUCUUUUUAUGUAAUGACAUGUCUAUUCAGUGUCAAGAAUCCAUUUGUUGCAUUCACUUGAAAUCCUGAAAAGGUCAUCUGAAGAGAGGCAAUAGUUUCUAGUAGAGGAGGAGGUUAGGUACGGAGCAGUUAUCACACAUAGAAUAUCCGACUCCGGAAUCCAACAUUGGUCAUCCCUUGAUGGCCAAUGGAAGGUUUUAGCAGGUCCAGAUGGAUGCAUAAAUUUGAUGUGGUAGUCACCGAAUUCCUCAGAAAUUUCUUCAACUAGUCCGAUCCACGGAUGUUCAUCAUACAUACAGCAGACGAAAUUCUGCUGUUUUAUUUCCAAGGGAAUUUGCAUGACCCUGGGUGUACAUGUUUCAUUUCAUUAUCAUUCUUU